AGGCACGUAGCUCAGUGGGAGAGCACUACCCUGACACGGUAGGGGUCGUUGGUUCAAACCCAAUCGUGCCUACCA
rnacentral:tRNA from 1 species